rnacentral:rRNA from 1 species
UGCCAGCCGCCGCGGUAAUACUGAAGGUGCAAGCGUUAAUCGGAAUCACUGGGCGUAAGGCGCUCGUAGGUGGCUUUGUAAGUCAGAUGUGAAAGCCCACGGCUCAACCGUGGAAUUGCAUUUGAUACUGCAUCGCUAGAGUAUAGGAGAGGGAAGUGGAAUUUCUGGUGUAGGAGUGAAAUCCGUAGAGAUCAGAAGGAACACCGGUGGCGAAGGCGACUUCCUGGACUAUUACUGACACUGAGGAGGGAAAGCGCGGGGGUAAUACAGGGUUAGAUA